rnacentral:rRNA from 1 species
CGGAUUAGUGGCGAACGGGUGAGUAACAUAUCGGAACGUACCCAGUAAUGGGGGAUAACUAGUCGGAAGACUGGCUAAUACCGCAUACGCCCUGGAGGGGGAAAGGCGGGGGAUCGAAGGACCUCGUGUUAUUGGAGCGGCCGAUAUCUGAUUAGCUAGUUGGUGGGGUAAAGGCCUACCAAGGCGACGAUCAGUAGCUGGUCUGAGAGGACGACCAGCCACACUGGAACUGAGACACGGUCCAG